UACGGGGGGAGCAAGCGUUGUUCGGAUUUACUGGGCGUAAAGGGCGCGUAGGCGGCCACCGCAAGUCGACUGUGAAAUCUCCGGGCUUAACCCGGAAAGGUCAGCCGAUACUGCGGGGCUAGAGUGCAGAAGGGGCAACUGGAAUUCUCGGUGUAGCGGUGAAAUGCGUAGAUAUGUGGAGGAACACCAGUGGCGAAGGCGGCUUUCUGGUCUGUAACUGACGCUGAGGCGCGAAAGCGUGGGGAGCAAACAGG
rnacentral:rRNA from 1 species